rnacentral:rRNA from 1 species
CAAAGGUUUGGUCCUAGCCUUCCUAUUGAUUAUUAACAGAAUUACACAUGCAAGUCUCUACACCCCAAUGAGAAUGCCCUCUAAAUCUAUAUGUUGAUUAAAAGGAGCGGGUAUCAAGCACACUAAAUUAGUAGCUCAUAACGCCUUGCUCAACCACACCCCCACGGGAUACAGCAGUGAUAAAAAUUAAGCCAUAAACGAAAGUUUGACUAAGCCAUGUUAACAAAGAGCUGGUAAAUUUCGUGCCAGCCACCGCGGUCAUACGAUUAGCCCGAAUCAAUAGGCAAACGGCGUAAAACGUGUUAAGGAUUAUAUUAUACUAAAGUUAAAAUUUAACAAGGCUGUAAAAAGCUACUGUUAAUAUAAGAUAAACCACGAAAGUGACUUUAUUACUUCCAUCAACACGAUAGCUGAGACCCAAACUGGGAUUAGAUACCCCACUAUGCUCAGCCCUAAACAUAAAUAAUUAUCACAACAAAAUUAUCUGCCAGAGAA